rnacentral:rRNA from 1 species
AUUGAACGCUAGCGGGAUGCUUUACACAUGCAAGUCGAACGGCAGCGCGGACUUCGGUCUGGCGGCGAGUGGCGAACGGGUGAGUAAUGUAUCGGAACGUGCCCAGUAGCGGGGGAUAACUACGCGAAAGCGUAGCUAAUACCGCAUACGCCCUACGGGGGAAAGCAGGGGAUCGUAAGACCUUGCACUAUUGGAGCGGCCGAUAUCGGAUUAGCUAGUUGGUGAGGUAACGGCUCACCAAGGCGACGAUCCGUAGCUGGUUUGAGAGGACGACCAGCCACACUGGGACUGAGACACGGCCCAGACUCCUACGGGAGGCAGCAGUGGGGAAUUUAGGACAAUGGGGGCAACCCUGAUCCAGCCAUCCCGCGUGUGCGAUGAAGGCCUUCGGGUUGUAAAGCACUUUUGGCAGGAAAGAAACGUCGCGGGCUAAUACCCCGUGGAACUGACGGUACCUGCAGAAUAAGCACCGGCUAACUACGUG